AAUUAGCUUAGAAGUUUCUUUUGGUGCUUGUGAAUUAAGUAGGUUGUGUAUAUUUAAUAUUUUUUUGUUAAGUUUGAAGUUAAUAGUAAAUUAAUGAAGGAGAACUUUUCUAAGUAUUCAAGCUCCAAAUCGGAAUGAACUGAGUUUUAGUUAAAAAUUAUUCUAAGUACAAAAAGAGGAGCUCUCGAGUGGAAAGUGGGUGUUUCCAAUACUUUAGUAAAAUUUUGAGAAAUUGUUAAGAGAAGGAUUUCAAUAAAAUUUUGAGAAAUUGUUAAGAGAAGGAUUAUGUGUGGAGAUGUGUGGCUUGAAGGGUGUAUUGGAGGGCCUUAGUGGUAAGCUUUAGGUGAUGACCUUGGUUGGCCAAUCAUAGAAAGGCUUGCCAAGGGGGAAAAAGCUUCCAAGAAGAGCCUAGGCGAAGAAGUGAAGUUGCAGCUUUAGACGAGGAAGAAUGGAUGUGUAGGCGAUGACCUCGGCAUACUAUCUAGCUUAAGACCGGCGAUGGGCCUCAUAAGAGGUUAUUAACAUUGGUGUAGAUGGCCAGAUGUGCUACUGAGUGCCAAGGUGAGGCAUCGAAGGAAGGCUGUUGAGUGGGCAAUGAGGUGAGCUGGUGGUCGAGAGCCUUAUGUAUGUGAAGGCUAUGCCCUUUCAAGUGUCAAGGUGCUAAGGAGAAUAAAUUACUAAGAGGAUAAGUGAGCUAAGUGGCAGAAGAUUAAGCUUAAGACAAGAGUUAAUAGCAUGAGCUGCCAUUUGAUUAAGCAAAGAAAGCAUGCAAAGGGAAGUAUAAAUAGGGCUUAUGAAGAAGAAGUUGGUUUUUCUAUUUCUCUCGUGCAAAAGAAGAACUUCAACAUCCAAAUUGAAGCUUGAUCAGUCUAGUGAUGAUCCAGGGUUGCUGUGAGGAAAUUCGCAUAGAUUGAUAGUGAAAUCUUAAGGAAAUUUUUUGACCCCCUCGAGCAAGCUGUGAAGAUUGGAGGAUUUUGCGCUCCCUAAGAAAAGUUAGAAGCUUCAAUUUUGAGGCUGCUGGAUAGGUUGAAGAAGCUAGUAGAUGACCAGGGGUAAUGAGGGCUGGCGUUGAGUUGGUGUGUGAUAGCACUAGAAAUGUGUUAUCUUCUUCUGAUUAACUCGAGGUUGUUUAACUACAUAAUUAGGUUAAAUUGAUCAUUUUGUAGGACUCGAGUAUACAAGCAGUCAGAUUAAACGUUCGGAACAAUAGACGCUAAAAUGACAAAGUUAGAAGCUAAAUUGAUCAAAUGACGAAGGAAUGAAGAAUACUGCCCCGCUGAACAUUGCUAUGCUCUCAUUAAACCUAAGUCCAACGCUAGAAGGUAGAAUGUUCCGAUGCAGGGUAGCGUUGCAACGUUGUCCCAAGCGUUGCAACGCUCCGGAGAUGCCCCAACGCUACCGUUGUGCCGCUCGUCAACGCUGCCCUCCAACGCUCUAGGACAGAAUAGGCAGUGUUGCUAGCCUGGGUUUGUUAGUUUAUAUUGGUUCUGAUUCAAUUCUUGAGACCCAUAUUGUAGUUCUAUGAGUUUUAUUAUGAACUUAUGAGAAUUUAUCUUGCGCAUAUUCUUCAAUUUUUGUGUAUAAGAUAAUCUGAAAAAUUAGCUGUGCAUGUUUAUAAUUGAUUGCUUUGUUUGGCCCUAAUUUGUAACUGUUAAGUAGUCAUCACUUAGAAGCAUGAGUUAAGUUAGUUUGUUGUAUUAAUUUAGGAUUCCAAUUAACAAGCAUUUACUUUCUAACUUAGAUAAACCUCCCUCAAUUAAUUGGUUAGAUGAUGAAAUCAAUUAAUUGACUUAGCUUUGCCUUGAAUCUUAAUGCCUGUUGAUUGAUUGAUUAGCUGAGGAUUCUUGCUUUUCUAUUAAUUAACUUGAUUUUAUGGACUACCGAGUAGGAUUCUAAUCGAGUAGGCUAAGUUAAAAUUCAAUUAUUCUUGCACAUCUUUUGAUUAGUCCGUGAUAGAAUUGAUGAAGAAUGAACUAAACUAUGAUUACUCAAGCUAAGUAUUUGUCCGAUUGAUAAAUUUUUGUAUUCGUUUACGUUGUACACUUUUUGUUCUUUAGCAAUUUAUUUAAGAAUUUCUCAUAAAAUCUCUCUCCCCCCCCCAGCGCCUUGGUUACUACUAAUUAGGAAUCCAUAUUCGACACUCUGUGGUUCAACCCCAAACUUGCUACUUGUACUACUAAUUAGUAUAAGAGGUUAGUUCGGUACAGACAAAUUUUAUUUACAUAGGUGCGGGUUCACGAACGACGGUGAAUCCGGUGGCCGGCCAAAUUGACGUCGUUGCCACGGAGCGAACGAAAUCCUUGAUUUUUGAAACUUGUAGUGUUUAUCCUUGCUAAUCAAUUUUCUCUUUUGGUGCAUGACCCACACUCCCAAAGGUGCUAGACAAUUGUAUUUUGCAGAGAUUUCCAGGGAGGAGCGGAGAAUCAAAAGAGAAAGGAGACAACAAGUUGCGCUGGACAGAGAGAUUCGUGUUGAAGACACAUUGGGAGAAGAAAGCAUUCUUGAAGAUUUUCUAGUGAUGGCUGAAUGAGAAAAUACCCUCAAGGAACUUGUAACACGGCAAGGAUCCACACAAACACUUGAAGGAAUUCAAUGUGGUGUGCAAUGGGAUGAGACCUAAUGGGGUGACCCAGGAGCAGAUAAAUAUGAGAGCAUUCAACUUUUCAUUGAAGGGAGAUGCCAAGGAGUGGCUCUACAUUCUUUCACCAAGGAGCAUCACGUCAUGGGAAGAAUUGCAGAGGCAGUUCUUGAAGAAGUUCUUUCCAGCAUCCUGAGCUGCUAGUGUUAGAAAGGAAAUUUAUAGCAUCAUGCAGCUUGAUGGGGAGACCCUUCAUGAGUAUUGAGAAUGAUUCAAAUCUCAGACCAACUUUUGAUCCAAUACUUUUAUGAGGGACUGAUGCAUACCGACAAAAGCAGCAUAGAUGCAGCUGUAGGAGGAGCCUUAGUCAAUAAGACCCCGACUGAGGCAAUGAAUCUAAUAGCUACCAUAGCUGCAAAUCUGCUAACGAGGUAAGUGAAUUUAAAAAAGAAAUAUCUGACUUAGUUUCUGUUGUAAAGCAGUUAGCGAAGGUAGAGAUUGGACAACCCGCUAUUGUUUGCCAAGUAUGCCAUGGGACUGACCAUUCAGCUGACAUUUGCCCAAGUGCUCCGCAAGGAGCAAUUCCUAAGGUAAAUGCCAUUGGAGGCUACAAUUACAAUGGGCAAAACAGAAUGCGAGACCCAUUCAAUCACGACUUCAUCUGGGUGGAGAGACCACCCUAACUUCAAAUGGGGAGGACAGAAGGAGCAGGCUCAACCUAGUCAUGGAGCUCCAUCUGGUUCAGGUAUGUUCUUAGAAGAUAUGGUUAAAAGUUUUGCUGAUAAUCAUUUUAAAUUUCAGAGUGCCAUUGAUGCAUUGGGGACCCAAAUCUCUCAACUAGCCACCUCUAUGAGUAAAUUGGAGAGACAAUCUGGCAAACUCCCAUCUCAACCAGAAUCAAACCCUAGAGAAAAUGUAAGUGCAUCUCGUUGAGGAGUGGCAAGGAGUUGAAACCACCUAUUGAGUCAAAGGAGCUAGAAUUGGAAAGUCUAGGAAUUUAUUCCUCAAAUUCGACCAUCUUACCACCACAAAAUAAACAAGAGCUUGCAAGGCCAAAGGAACCAACUGUAGACAAGGACAUGGAGCUUUUAGAGAUGUUUAGAAGGGUGGAGAUAAAUAUUCCUCUCCUUGAUGCAGUCAAGCAACUUUCGAAAUAUGCCAAAUUCUUGAAGGAGAUUUACACGAGGAAGAGACAAGCCAAGGAAAAGUACAGACUGGUGGUAAGUCAAUUUGUGUCUACGAUCCUUUAGAAAAACAAAAGGAUCCAGGUAUGUUUUCUCUCCCUUGCAUUAUAGGUAAAAAGAAAAUUAAUAGGGCCAUGCUAGAUUUGGGUGAAUCAAUAAAUAUUAUGCCUUAUUCAGUUUAUCAAGAAUUAAAAUUGAAGGACCUAACUGAGACUAGAGUUGUCAUCAAUUAGCUGAUACGUCUUUUAUACACCCAUUAGGAGUCAUAAAGGAUGUCCUAGUGCAGGAUAAUGAAUUGCUUUUUCCUGUUGAUUUCCAUGUUCUUAAGAUGAUAGAGCCCACAUCUAUCUCAUUUGCAUCCAUCUUGCUUGGGCGGCCUUUUAUGAAGAUGGCCAAGACUAAUAUUGAUGUGGAUGAGGGCACUCUAUCUGUGGAGUUCGAUGGUGAAUUGGUUAAAUUUAAUAUUUUUGAUGCUAUAAAAACUUCCACCAUAGGGCAAGUACAUUCUUUGUGCCAGAUUGAUGUGAUUGACUUUUUGAGCAGGAGGUUAUAUGGGACAUUUAUGACGACGAUGAGGAUGACUCAGGAGAUUUAAUCCCUUUUGGAGAGCUUGCCACCUUGUCUAUGACAAAGUCGGUAGGUAUGCCCUCAUAUUCCGAUGAUGAAUCUUUUGACAAGGUGUUUCCUUCUGUUUUGUAGGCACCUAAAUUGGAAUUGAAGGAGCUUCUAGACCACCUAAAGUACACCUAUCUAGGGGAAGCUGAGAUCUUUCCUGUCAUAAUUUCAAGGAACCUGACUGAGGAAUAAGAGAAGCAGUUGGUGGAGGUAUUACAGAAAUACAAGUUGGCCACUAGAUGGACGUUGGCCGACAUAAAAGGUAUUAGCCCUGCUGUGUGCAAGCAUCAAAUUUCUUUGGAAGAUGGAGCUAAACCUUGUUGACAGCCCCAACGACGUCUCCUGUCUUGAAGGAGGUAGUAAUGAAGGAGGUCUUCAAACUCUUAGAUGCAUGUAUUAUCUAUCAUAUUCCUGAAGGUUAGUCCUAUUCAUGUAGUGCCCAAGAAAACGGGUAUAGUUGUGGCAAAAAACGAUGAGGGUAUUUUAAUUCCUGUUAGAGUUCAGAAUGGGUGGAAGAUGUGUAUAGAUUUUAGGAAAUUAAAUGUUGUAGCUAGAAAGGACCACUUCCCUAUCUUCUUCAUUGAUCAGAUGCUUGAAAGGUUAGAUGGUAAACCCUUCUUCCAUUUCCUUGAUGGUUUUCGGGUUUCUAUCAGAUCUCGAUUAACCAGAAAGACCAACAGAAGACGACCUUUACAUGUCCCCAUGACACCUUCGCUUUUAGAAGAAUGCCAUUUGGACUAUGUAAUGCUCCUGGCACCUUUCAGCACUGUAU